rnacentral:lncRNA from 1 species
UUACCGUUGAGCGGUUGCGACGCAUUUAGUCUCGGCGUUUCUUAAAAGCUGAGCGGUUUUUGAAGUUCUUCACUUUGAAAAUCUUCUUUGCAUUUCUCCUGAGCGGUCUCCCUAAGCCCUAGCACUCUCCUUUCACUUUCAAGAGCUUUUUAGAGAGAUUUCCUCACUUUCCCAUCACCCACUCACCAAAAAUUCAAUUUUCUACCAUUGUUUUAUCAAAGUUUGGGUGUUUUGGUUGAGUGUUUUGCAUUGGAGAGGACAUUCAUCAUCAAUUGGACAAUUUUUGCAAGCAUUCAAAGUCUCACUCAAGUAAGUUGUGCAAAUUCAUGUUUAGGGUUUUUAUUUUGGGAUAUUUUGAUAAACAUGCUUAGGAACAUGAUAAAAAGGGGCUUUUGAUUCCUAUGCAUGAAUUGAUGAAAUAGGAACUGUUUGAACCG